rnacentral:rRNA from 1 species
GGCGGCGUGCCUAACACAUGCAAGUUGAGCGAUCUUCUUCGGAAGAGAGCGGCGGACGGGUGAGUAACGCGUGGGUAACCUGCCCUGUACACACGGAUAACAUACCGAAAGGUAUGCUAAUACGGGAUAACAUAAGAAAUUCGCAUGUUUUUCUUAUCAAAGCUCCGGCGGUACAGGAUGGACCCGCGUCUGAUUAGCUAGUUGGUGAGGUAACGGCUCACCAAGGCGACGAUCAGUAGCCGACCUGAGAGGGUGAUCGGCCACAUUGGAACUGAGACACGGUCCAAACUCCUACGGGAGGCAGCAGUGGGGAAUAUUGCACAAUGGGCGAAAGCCUGAUGCAGCAACACCGCGUGAGCGAUGAAGGCCUUCGGGUCGUAAAGCUCUGUCCUCAAGGAAGAUAAUGACGGUACUUGAGGAGGAAGCCCCGGCUAACUACGUGCCAGCAGCCGCGGUAAUACGUAGGGGGCUAGCGUUAUCCGGAUUUACUGGGCGUAAAGGGUGCGUAGGCGGUCUUUUAAGUCAGGAGUGAAAGGCUACGGCUCAACCGUAGUAAGCUCUUGAAACUGGAGGACUUGAGUGCAGGAGAGGAGAGUGGAAUUCCUAGUGUAGCGGUGAAAUGCGUAGAUAUUAGGAGGAACACCAGUAGCGAAGGCGGCUCUCUGGACUGUAACUGACGCUGAGGCACGAAAGCGUGGGGAGCAAACAGGAUUAGAUACCCUGGUAGUCCACGCCGUAAACGAUGAGUACUAGCUGUCGGAGGUUACCCCCUUCGGUGGCGCAGCUAACGCAUUAAGUACUCCGCCUGG